rnacentral:rRNA from 1 species
ACGUAGGUGGCAAGCGUUAUCCGGAAUUACUGGGCGUAAAGGGCGCGUAGGCGGGAAGACAAGUCGGGAGUGAAAUCCCAGGGCUUAACCCUCGAGCUGCAUUCGAAACUGUUUUUCUUGAGUAUUGGAGAGGAAAGUGGAAUUCCCAGUGUAGCGGUGAAAUGCGUAGAGAUUGGGAGGAACACCAGUGGCGAAGGCGACUUUCUGGACGAUUACUGACGCUGAGGCGCGAAAGCGUGGGGAGCAAACAG